AGCACCAAAGCAUCUAGCAGCUGGGAAAAUUCUGCUAAAGUUAAAAAUAAAUUCAUGUUUAACACAAAAUAAGGAGACGUGCUACUGUAUUUUUAAUUCCUCUCUACAGUAGCUGAGAAAGGUUUUCAUGUAUACGAGUAUGUGAUUGUCAUCCCCUAAGAGCUGUAUCCUACAGUUUAGCUCUUGGAGAAAGAAAGAUAUCUGCUAUUUUGCCAUUACUAAAUGUAAGGACUAGGAACAGACCUGCAUUAGCUAAUUCUAACAGUCUGAAAGAGGCAAGGAGAAACAAGAAUAUUCCAGUACAUCCAUCCUCAUCUUUAGACAUGUUCACUAAUUUUGUGUCAUAAUUUUACACUCCCAGUCUUGAGAUGUCUCACAAAUAACUUUCAAUAAUAUGAAAACCUACUGGUUUUCCUGAUUUUAUUGCUGUGACUCCUGAACCCUCCACCAAAGAAAGGCAAGCAAGGUUGAUAUAAUCAUCUUGCAAACACAAGGCUCCAUGUAAUUUUUGCAAAGGACAACCGAUUCAAGAAUUUGUUGCAAAGCAUAACUGUGAUCUGUGUGAAGACAAGGCCUUGAAUUUUUGAAGGCCUAAUUCUCGCACAGCUUCUGCAUCCAAAGAGUUAACUGCAAUCACCUGUAAUGCCAUAUUUUAUCCAUGGCCUUCCUUUCCAGUGAUUUUCCAUUUAUGCCAGAGAUUAUCUCAAUGCACUAUGUAAGUUUCAGCGCUUUAAGUCAACAGAUUAAUCACUUCAUCAGCCUUCACUUCAUUUUGGAGGAUUGUUUUGAAAUUAAGACAGACUUAAUAUUAUUUUAACCUUGUUAUUGCUUGCAUGUGUGGGGAAACAGCUUGGUAACAUUGAUCUUCAAGUUUAAAAAAGCACAAACUGUCUCAGAUAACAUUUGAAACAUUUUUCUUGUGAUAUCUGCAGUGUAAGAUCUCGCAUUAUAAAAACAUGCAUGUAGCACUUGGUUUUGGUUUUUAGGUGUCACUGAGAUAAGACAACACGUGAACUGUCACAAUAGAUGAGUUAUACUGCAGAUCCGCUAUUCAAAUCAAUCUAUAGCCACUGAUAAGGGGUUGGUAGUUGGUGUAGUCAGACUACUCAUAGUCUAAAAGCAGAGUCGGUGGCCUAGUGGCAAACUUUGCUAGAAGUGUACUGCUUAUUCUCCAUGGGCAGUAGUGCUAAUGCACGUUAUUAAGUGUUUGAGAUGCACACGUAUGAUCUGUUCGACCGUCAUGUACUCUGAGAUUCCUCUGAGCCAGCAGUUCUUAGCUUGGUGCCUUAGACAGUCUGGAGCAUGGGUGAGAACUAAAAGGCUGAGGCACAAUCUCUUUGGGAGUGAUGCUACCAAGCUAGAGGAACUAAUAGAGAAGUGUGGAAAGGAUGAUGACUCCCCCCAUAAUUUUAGAUGUUUGCCUGUCCUUUGUAAUUCACAUCUUGCAAGUUCUUUUGCUCGUUGGUGAUUGUUAGAUAAGCAUACAAAAUCGAGUCCGUGGACACUUGUUAUCUGCGUGCAGCAAAGUAACAGCUCAGUCUCUCGGAUGCAACCUUGCAGCUAUGAUCUUUUCCAGUCUCAAACUAAGGCUUCAUUAUCAGGACACGCUGUUAUAAAAGUUAUAUUUCAAAUCUGUCUGUGAUGUUGAACCGCUCCCAGAGGAAAGGGAAGCUUCAGCUCAUAAACCAGAUAUGCACCAUGGUUUCUUUUUCUAUUCUUGGUGGCUGUAUACAUUUUUUUCAUGCAGUCACUGAAAAGUACUUCGGUAUGUGGUAAAAUGCAGUCCCCACUCACAGCUUUGUUAACUGGCAGUACCUAAAUUGUGGUGAACAAAAUCAGGUGGUUGAAGCCGAUGCAGCUGAAAAGUAACCUGGAAAAAGACUAAUUCUGGUUUAGCCACAUCAGAUAGCCAUGUGGUCAGAUAUGAAGUAUCAAAACUCUUCACUAGGUGUGGGCUGGAUGUAGACUGGGUCAUGCUCCUAUGCAUAACCCUCCUCAUUCCAAAUGGCCACAACUGAAAACAGUAGGAAGCUGAAUUUAAAGUACAGCUAACUAGCUCUUGUUCUCCACUUCCCUCUCUGAUGAGAAUAAACACACAGGAAUGUCUGGUAUUUCUUAGAAAUAAUAUACUACCCAACAUUAAGAAGCCCAUUAUUUUUUAUUCGGUAUCAGAGAGGAUAGAGUUAUCAAGUUUCUUGUGAUUUAACUAUGCUUGUUGGGUUUGUUGGUUUUUUUUUAAUUAAAAGACAUCUUGUCCCCAUUACUCAUAUUUGAAGGCUGUUUCAGAACCUUCAUGCGUGAUUAGAAAUCUUCAACUAGAACUCCAGUAUCAGUUUAUACCUAUUUUGUGCACAACAAUAUUGGUUUUCAGCCUAAAUGGAUCUUUUCCCGUUAGGAUACAUCUGUCCAGACAAUUCUGUGAUGGGUGGUUCUGUCCACACACGGCUUUUCUUGUACUAGAUGAAACUAGCCAAGCCCCAGACUUCUCUUACAAGAGAAUGGGGGUCUCCAUUUACCUAAUCAUGUUGUUAUCCUUUAUCCAUAUCUGUAUUGUUUUUUAAUAUACAGGACCAGAAUUGUACACGGUACUUCAGAUGAGGCCUCAACAGUGCUUUGUACUUUAAUCCCCCUACUUCUGUAUUCCGCGUACCUCUGUAUUUGUAGGUAGUCCCUGCUGGGACUAUCAUGCCUAAUGCAUCCUAGGAUUCCUUUUGCCUUUUUGACAAGCAUGUCAUAUUUGUACAACAGGCAAGUUUAUAAGAAAAGAACAAUGCUCCAUCAGGGUGCAAUUAUAAAAAUAGAGGUAUAGAAACAAAAAGCUUAUCGAUGUGUGUUCGACACAUGCCGCACCAGCUGAUACGCAGCUGGGCUUGUGUACGAAAAACCCCGCUGAGAAUUACGCGGAGCGCUCGGAGGCCCUGGGUUCCCUCAGCAGUCCGUGAAGGGCUGAGGAGCUCAUUAAGGGAGCAGAAAGGCUCCGCGGCAGAGCUGCCUCUUUCUCUCAGAUCUCCACGCUGACGUGCAGCAGCAUGUGCUCUGAAUACUCAAUGUAGAAAUCGGUUCUGAUUCUUACAGAGCACCAAGCUAAGAAAUUAAAAAUGUACUAAAGGCCUUGCGGGUUUCCACCGAGGACACCAAAAAUAAUCUGAUGCCAGAUGAUAUCAGUGAUCCACUCUUCCAUUAUCAGCAGUAUCCAAGAGCCAGAGGCUUCCAAAAAUAGGGUUCUGAAGGUUCAAAUAUCUGGGUUUAUUCUACUUUCUUCAUCACAGGUCCACGUGUGGUACUGUCUUGUAAGACAGGAUCUGGUUGAGUCUGUGGCAGAGCUGGUCUGGGGACACUUUAGGGAUCACACAGAAGUUGACCUUGAGCCAAUGACUUUAUGCAACUUAGCAAAGCGGACUAAGACAAUGAUUUAUUGAACUAGAAGCAACCAUCACAGAAGAGCUAUCUCAUGAGUUCCACUUGUCCACCACUGAGGAACUAUGAAUGGUAUCAUCACAGGUGUUUUUAUAAAUACAUAAUACUGGGCAAUUAAUUCAUACAAUUGUAGGAUUUGUUGAUCUGCCUUUCAAACAUUCCUUCAGUAUUUCUAUUUUUGUAUACUUGUGUUUUCCUGCCACUUAGCUUCCUGUUCCUGAUGACAGUGGGAAACAAAUACUUGUAAAGGUGAGCAGGGAGUUCAGUGUUCAAUGAAUAAGGUUUUGGAAAUGUUUUUGUCACUUACUCAUCGUAAAAAGACCAGUGGACAGCUUUUAGCAUGGCUCUUAGUGAUACAUUUGAUUACAUGAUCAGUAACUGCAUAGUAAUGGCUUCCCACUGUUUGCAAUGAAGGUAGUUGCUGUUGGUGCCAGAAAGAUUAUUUCUGAUAAAAAAGAGGAGGAAAGAUGAUUAUCAGGAAAACCUAUUAAAAUGUAAACCACUUCAAGAGAAACUAAAAAAAUUUCUCAAGUUCCCUACUUUGCUGUGUUACCGAAAGCCAGAAUAAAACUCCUUAACACCAA